rnacentral:rRNA from 1 species
GGACGAACGCUGGCGGCGUGCUUAACACAUGCAAGUCGAACGGUAAGGCCCUUCGGGGUACACGAGUGGCGAACGGGUGAGUAACACGUGGGUGAUCUGCCCUGCACUUCGGGAUAAGCCUGGGAAACUGGGUCUAAUACCGGAUAGGACCAUGGACUUCACGGUUUGUGGUGGAAAGCUUUUGCGGUGUGGGAUGGGCCCGCGGCCUAUCAGCUUGUUGGUGGGGUAAUGGCCUACCAAGGCGACGACGGGUAGCCGGCCUGAGAGGGUGUCCGGCCACACUGGGACUGAGAUACGGCCCAGACUCCUACGGGAGGCAGCAGUGGGGAAUAUUGCACAAUGGGCGCAAGCCUGAUGCAGCGACGCCGCGUGAGGGAUGACGGCCUUCGGGUUGUAAACCUCUUUCAAUAGGGACGAAGCGCAAGUGACGGUACCUAUAGAAGAAGCACCGGCCAACUACGUG